rnacentral:rRNA from 1 species
UACGUAGGGUGCAAGCGUUUAAUCGGAAUUACUGGGCGUAAAGCGUGCGCAGGCGGUUUUGUAAGUCUGUCGUGAAAUCCCCGGGCUCAACCUGGGAAUGGCGAUGGAGACUGCAAGGCUAGAGUUUGGCAGAGGGGGGUAGAAUUCCACGUGUAGCAGUGAAAUGCGUAGAUAUGUGGAGGAACACCGAUGGCGAAGGCAGCCCCCUGGGUCAAGAUUGACGCUCAUGCACGAAAGCGUGGGGAGCAAACAGG